AAAUUGAAGAGUUUGAUCAUGGCUCAGAUUGAACGCUGGCGGCAGGCCUAACACAUGCAAGUCGAGCGGUAGCACAGAGAGCUUGCUCUCGGGUGACGAGCGGCGGACGGGUGAGUAAUGUCUGGGAAACUGCCUGAUGGAGGGGGAUAACUACUGGAAACGGUAGCUAAUACCGCAUAAUGUCGCAAGACCAAAGUGGGGGACCUUCGGGCCUCAUGCCAUCAGAUGUGCCCAGAUGGGAUUAGCUAGUAGGUGGGGUAACGGCUCACCUAGGCGACGAUCCCUAGCUGGUCUGAGAGGAUGACCAGCCACACUGGAACUGAGACACGGUCCAGACUCCUACGGGAGGCAGCAGUGGGGAAUAUUGCACAAUGGGCGCAAGCCUGAUGCAGCCAUGCCGCGUGUGUGAAGAAGGCCUUCGGGUUGUAAAGCACUUUCAGCGGGGAGGAAGGCGGUGAGGUUAAUAACCUCAUCGAUUGACGUUACCCGCAGAAGAAGCACCGGCUAACUCCGUGCCAGCAGCCGCGGUAAUACGGAGGGUGCAAGCGUUAAUCGGAAUUACUGGGCGUAAAGCGCACGCAGGCGGUCUGUCAAGUCGGAUGUGAAAUCCCCGGGCUCAACCUGGGAACUGCAUUCGAAACUGGCAGGCUAGAGUCUUGUAGAGGGGGUAGAAUUCCAGGUGUAGCGGUGAAAUGCGUAGAGAUCUGGAGGAAUACCGGUGGCGAAGGCGGCCCCCUGGACAAAGACUGACGCUCAGGUGCGAAAGCGUGGGGAGCAAACAGGAUUAGAUACCCUGGUAGUCCACGCCGUAAACGAUGUCGAUUUGGAGGUUGUGCCCUUGAGGCGUGGCUUCCGGAGCUAACGCGUUAAAUCGACCGCCUGGGGAGUACGGCCGCAAGGUUAAAACUCAAAUGAAUUGACGGGGGCCCGCACAAGCGGUGGAGCAUGUGGUUUAAUUCGAUGCAACGCGAAGAACCUUACCUGGUCUUGACAUCCACAGAACUUUCCAGAGAUGGAUUGGUGCCUUCGGGAACUGUGAGACAGGUGCUGCAUGGCUGUCGUCAGCUCGUGUUGUGAAAUGUUGGGUUAAGUCCCGCAACGAGCGCAACCCUUAUCCUUUGUUGCCAGCGGUUAGGCCGGGAACUCAAAGGAGACUGCCAGUGAUAAACUGGAGGAAGGUGGGGAUGACGUCAAGUCAUCAUGGCCCUUACGACCAGGGCUACACACGUGCUACAAUGGCAUAUACAAAGAGAAGCGACCUCGCGAGAGCAAGCGGACCUCAUAAAGUAUGUCGUAGUCCGGAUUGGAGUCUGCAACUCGACUCCAUGAAGUCGGAAUCGCUAGUAAUCGUAGAUCAGAAUGCUACGGUGAAUACGUUCCCGGGCCUUGUACACACCGCCCGUCACACCAUGGGAGUGGGUUGCAAAAGAAGUAGGUAGCUUAACCUUCGGGAGGGCGCUUACCACUUUGUGAUUCAUGACUGGGGUGAAGUCGUAACAAGGUAACCGUAGGGGAACCUGCGGUUGGAUCACCUCCUUACCUUAAAGAA
rnacentral:rRNA from 1 species